rnacentral:rRNA from 1 species
AGUGAACGCUGGCGGCGUGCCUAAUACAUGCAAGUCGAACGAAGUGGCGCGCGGGAGAGUAAUAUAUAGUUAAUCAGCCCCACACAGAGGAACAACAGUUGGAAACGGCUGCUCAUACCUCAUAGUGUAGGAUGAGACUGUAUCGUAUCAGCUAGUUGGUAAGUUAAUGGCUUACCAAGGCUAUGACGCGUAACUGGUCUGAGCUGAUGAUCAGUCACAUUGGAACUGAGACACGGUCCAAAAUCCUACGGGAGGUAGCAGUAAGGAAUAUUGCGCAAUGGGGGAAUCCCUGACGGAGCAUCGACGCGUGGAGGAUGACACUUUUCUGAGCGUAAGCUCCGUUUAUCAGGAAAGCGGUACCUGAUGAAGAAGCACCGGCUAACUCCGUGCCAGCAGCCGCGGUAAUAC